UUGAAAUAUGACAUGGGAAAAGUAGUAGAAACAAAGGAAACGCUGCCCAAUUUUCCCUAGAAAUAGUAGCGCGUUUUUCUCGUCGAUUGACUAACACGAUGGUGCGAAUUAUCUCUUGAAGGUAGAGACGUUACGUCAAGGGAAAUCAAGCGAACGAUAGCAUAGUUAACGACAAAGGUAGACAGAGAGACGGCGCCGACCUAUAGGAGCUAUCAGCAGAUUUACGGGAGCACUCCACUAUUUUGGAGGUGCUAGUCGAGCUAUGAUUUUGUGUAUAUAUGUAUAUGUCUAGUACUCCAGUAGAGGCUCGUAGAUACGCAGUGUGGGUUGUGUGGUAUCCCAAGGUUGCCAUUAUGUAGAAAUUUAUAUACAUAUAUGUGCAUAUUAUUUUGAUAGCCUAAAGGCUUAUGUUUACAAAAGUAUAUAUAUUUUAAACAGAAGAUGAUUUCUUUA